ensembl:lncRNA
UGUGGAGAGCGGUGUUAGCCAUAGAGGCUCCAUAUUAAAUCUUACCCUCCACUGCAUAGAGCAAGGAGACUGUGUUAUGAGGAACCGCGUCCCUGCCAACCUAAAUGUUUACCUUCAGAAAUUGUCCUGGAAACAUGAUGAACGUUCUGUAACCCCGAGAAACAAAGAAGCCCAUGAGGGUGGGGAAUUUCCAAAGAACUAGAGAACAGGGAAGUAGGUGUCUCUGGAUAAGGGUCAUGAUUAAUGACCAAACUCACCAAGUGUAUAAAAGAAAGGUGAAAAAUAAACUUGGGCACUCGAUCUCUGGGAGCCCUCCCGGCUCUAUCUCUUUGUCUUUAUUUUUCUUCAUCCUCAUUCCCCCAUUCAGGUACUGUUCGACAGGUGACGGCGGGCUCCGUCACGGGUGGCACCCGAACAGGGACCUGAAUACGGGGGACCAUAGUGAAGGACACCGCGGAUUGUGAGCUCGGAUAAGUCAAGGGCGGUGAAUACACUCGGGAGUAGCAAGAUGGGUAAUAGCAGUAGCCCAAUGCUUUUUGCGCAAAUACUUAAGAAUAUGCUUCGGUCUCGUGGAGCAAAGGACGCUGAAGGCACCAGGUGGCUGCCUGAAAGAUUGGUCUGUUUCACGGGGAAUUCUCUUGCCCCUCAGGAUGAUUCUGACAACUGUCCUGCUGAUGAAUCUAAUGAUGAUGCUUAAUGGGGAAGUUUAUUGGACUUAUGUACCUGAUCCACCUGUGGCGGCCCCUGACAAGAACGAGGUUCGAUCGUUCAACUAUACGGGAUCACUGGAGUCCAUCUACAUCUACCUGUGGGUAUGGAGACCACUGGAAUGCUCCAAUAAGACUAUUCCAUGAAAGAGACGUGCAGCGGAUGCCCCUGUGAAAUAUAAUAUUACUGGGCUUGAUACUUAUGUUUUGGACUGGUCUAAAUCUCAGGAUUAUGCCUCUACCCAGAUGUAUAAUUCUCUCUUUCCUAGUCCCCCAUAGUUAAGUGAAAUAGCACUCUCUAUAGGGUUAUGGUGGAGUGACAAAGGAUAUGCUCAAACAUAUAUUUGGAAAUUGGCUGCAGCCUUAGAUAAGGCUAAGGCCCAAUCUGAAAAUUCUUAUCAUCACCCCCAAAAAAAUGUCAUUGCAUGUGUAAUGUGCUCUUAUAUAUUGCUUGUAGAAAAUAUUAGCCUUCAGAUAGGUAAUGAUUAUUAUGAUGUAAUUUGCUUUGUCAAAUAAGUAAUUGUGUCACCCGGACAGAAAAUCAGGUGAUGGUUUUGCAAAUGUGUCCUUAGAUUUAGUACAGCUUCAUAAGGAUAUUACAGAUCUCCAAAAUGCAAAAUUCCUAAAAUUUGAUGCAGCCUAGGCUGCACAAGAUUUUAUUGGACAAAUUUAAAAAGUUCUGCCAUCUACGUCUGCAUUUACGCGGUAACUCAUUUCUAUAGUAAUCAUUGGAGGAGGGCUACUUCUUGGAUGCAUGAUCCUUUCAGUGCUACUACAGAUGUUUCUGCAUUCUUUGACGAGAAUGGCUGGAAGUAUUCAUGGUCCACAAUUACAUGCUAUACCGCCUAAGCCUAAGGUGUUAUCCUCUGCAGAGGCUAGUAGUCAAUGAUGGGUAAGAGGAGUACAGGAAAUCACCAACCUAAGACAGAGCAAGAGUACUGUGACGCUCUUGACUCGAUGACGGGUAAGAGAUUUCUUUAUAUUCCUCGCCUAAGACAGGCACAGUCUAUCUGCGUGAUCAAGGGACCUUGGUCAUAAUAUAUAAAACGGGGAGAUGUGGAGAGCGGUGUUAGCCAUAGAGGCUCCAUAUUAAAUCUUACCCUCCAUUGCAUAGAGCAAGGAGACUGUGUUAUGAGGAACCGCGUCCCUGCCAACCUAAAUGUUUACCUUCAGAAAUUGUCCUGGAAACACGAUGAACGUUCUAUAACCCCGAGAAACAAAGAAGCCCAUGAGGGUGGGGAAUUUCCAAAGAACUAGAGAACAGGGAAGUAGGUGUCUCUGGAUAAGGGUCAUGAUUAAUGACCAAACUCACCAAGUGUAUAAAAGAAAGGUGAAAAAUAAACUUGGGCACUCGAUCUCUGGGAGCCCUCCCGGCUCUAUCUCUUUGUCUUUUUCUUCAUCCUCACUCCCCCAUUCAGGUACUGUUCAACAGGUGACGGCGGGCUCCGUCACCAGUUUGAAUCUAGUAUAAGAAAGCAGAUAAAACUGAGAAACAUUAAGCAAAAUACCAUUUCAAACUGUAUCACAGAGCCUCGUAAUAAUUCAGACAUGCAAGAAACAUAAAAGUAAGCGAUAAAGACCAGCAAGUAGAGACAAAAACAAUGGAAAAAAAAGUUCGAUAAACAUUUGUGGAAGUGAGAAUUACUUUAUUAUUUGUCUCUGGAUUGACUGGUUUGCUUGUUGGGCUACCAUAAACAAACAUCCAUAAAAUUUUCCAUACUAAUAGGAAUUUAUAUUUUCUCUCCUGAUAUGUUUUCUCAGAUUAUAUUUUUAAAUACACUACUGCAUUCCUCUCUGGAACAAUUAUUAAUUUACAAUGCCACCAGCAACAUAUUGGUAUUACAAAUAUUAGAUUUUUUAAAGGAGUAAAUACCUGUAUUUUAAUGCUUUUAGGUGAAAUAAUUCUGCUGCUAGAAAAAAAGUAAUACAGGAAGUACUACUAUGUACUACUCCAAUUCUGUUUUUAGGCUCUGAAAAAUAAUAUAAAAGUUUAAGUUACUGUUGGAACAAGACUGAGCCCAAACUUACCUAAAGUAAAAAUUUAUAUUCUGGUCACGUUAUAUGCAUUGUAAGUAUGGUCUGUUUAAGCACUACUUUUCAUUAUAACGAUGUCAUUUAAAGUUCUAAAUUUUGAUGGAAUCUCAUUUAUCAACUUUUUUUUAUAUAUCACGUUUUUUGUACACUAGGAAGUUCUUGCCUACCCUAAAUUCAUAAAUAUUUUCCCUUAUAAUUUCUUCUUAAAGUUUUAUAGUUUUAAUCGUUCAUAUUUAGGUUCAUAGAUCCUUUCAAGUUAUUUUUAUGUAGGGAAAUAAAGGGUUGAGGUUAAUUUUUUGUAUACAGAUACCAGGUGUUCUAGAGCCAUUUCCUGAAAACACUAUCUUUUCCUCUGCUCUUGAAUUGAGUUUAUAUUCUGUAAAAUGUUAAUGUUAAAUAAUCUUUCAAAACUCAGUGGACCAUAUAUGUGUGGUUCUAUUUGUAGAUUCUCUGUUUUAUUCCAAUGAUCUGUAUGUCUUUCCUUAUACCAACACUGCCUUGAUUACUGUAGCUUUAGAGGAAGUCUUAAAAUUAGGUACUAAAUGUCUUCCAACACUUUUUUCUUUUUACUUUUCUAGGUCCUUUGUACUCCUAUAUAACUUUAAAUUUCAAUAUCUAAUUCUUCAUUUAC